GUCGUGCUGGAUGUCUAACCCGGGUCCGUGAUCCGGAUCGGGGACAGUGUCUGAUGGGUAGUUUAACUGGGGCGGUUGCCUCCCAAAGGGUAACGGAGGCGCCCAAAGGUUCCCUCAGCCUGGUUGGCAAUCAGGUGGUGAGUGUAAGUGCACAAGGGAGCUUGACUGUGAGACCGACGGGUCGAGCAGGGACGAAAGUCGGGACUAGUGAUCCGGCGGUGGCUUGUGGAAGCGCCGUCGCUCAACGGAUAAAAGGUACCCCGGGGAUAACAGGCUGAUCUUCCCCAAGAGUCCAUAUCGACGGGAUGGUUUGGCACCUCGAUGUCGGCUCGUCGCAUCCUGGGGCUGGAGUCGGUCCCAAGGGUUGGGCUGUUCGCCCAUUAAAGCGGUACGCGAGCUGGGUUUAGAACGUCGUGAGACAGUUCGGUCCCUAUCCGCUGUGCGCGUAGGAGUCUUGAGAAGGGCUGUCCCUAGUACGAGAGGACCGGGACGGACGAACCUCUGGUGUGCCAGUUGUUCUGCCAAGGGCAUGGCUGGUUGGCUACGUUCGGGAGGGAUAACCGCUGAAAGCAUCUAAGCGGGAAGCCUGCUUCGAGAUGAGGACUCCCACCCACUUGAUGGGGUAAGGCUCCCAGUAGACGACUGGGUUGAUAGGCCGGAUCUGGAAGCACGGUAACGUGUGGAGGUGACCGGUACUAAUAGGCCGAGGGCUUGUCCUCAGUUG
rnacentral:rRNA from 1 species